CGGGACACGUGGUAUCCUGUCUGAAUAUGGGGGGACCAUCCUCCAAGGCUAAAUACUCCUGACUGACCGAUAGUGAACCAGUACCGUGAGGGAAAGGCGAAAAGAACCCCGGCGAGGGGAGUGAAAAAGAACCUGAAACCGUGUACGUACAAGCAGUGGGAGCACGCUUAGGCGUGUGACUGCGUACCUUUUGUAUAAUGGGUCAGCGACUUAUAUUCUGUAGCAAGGUUAACCGAAUAGGGGAGCCGAAGGGAAACCGAGUCUUAACUGGGCGUUAAGUUGCAGGGUAUAGACCCGAAACCCGGUGAUCUAGCCAUGGGCAGGUUGAAGGUUGGGUAACACUAACUGGAGGACCGAACCGACUAAUGUUGAAAAAUUAGCGGAUGACUUGUGGCUGGGGGUGAAAGGCCAAUCAAACCGGGAGAUAGCUGGUUCUCCCCGAAAGCUAUUUAGGUAGCGCCUCGUGAAUUCAUCUCCGGGGGUAGAGCACUGUUUCGGCAAGGGGGUCAUCCCGACUUACCAACCCGAUGCAAACUGCGAAUACCGGAGAAUGUUAUCACGGGAGACACACGGCGGGUGCUAACGUCCGUCGUGAAGAGGGAAACAACCCAGACCGCCAGCUAAGGUCCCAAAGUCAUGGUUAAGUGGGAAACGAUGUGGGAAGGCCCAGACAGCCAGGAUGUUGGCUUAGAAGCAGCCAUCAUUUAAAGAAAGCGUAAUAGCUCACUGGUCGAGUCGGCCUGCGCGGAAGAUGUAACGGGGCUAAACCAUGCACCGAAGCUGCGGCAGCGACGCUGAUGCGUUGUUGGGUAGGGGAGCGUUCUGUAAGCCUGUGAAGGUGUGCUGUGAGGCAUGCUGGAGGUAUCAGAAGUGCGAAUGCUGACAUAAGUAACGAUAAAGCGGGUGAAAAGCCCGCUCGCCGGAAGACCAAGGGUUCCUGUCCAACGUUAAUCGGGGCAGGGUGAGUCGACCCCUAAGGCGAGGCCGAAAGGCGUAGUCGAUGGGAAACAGGUUAAUAUUCCUGUACUUGGUGUUACUGCGAAGGGGGGACGGAGAAGGCUAUGUUGGCCGGGCGACGGUUGUCCCGGUUUAAGCGUGUAGGCUGGUUUUCCAGGCAAAUCCGGAAAAUCAAGGCUGAGGCGUGAUGACGAGGCACUACGGUGCUGAAGCAACAAAUGCCCUGCUUCCAGGAAAAGCCUCUAAGCAUCAGGUAACAUCAAAUCGUACCCCAAACCGACACAGGUGGUCAGGUAGAGAAUACCAAGGCGCUUGAGAGAACUCGGGUGAAGGAACUAGGCAAAAUGGUGCCGUAACUUCGGGAGAAGGCACGCUGAUAUGUAGGUGAAGUCCCUCGCGGAUGGAGCUGAAAUCAGUCGAAGAUACCAGCUGGCUGCAACUGUUUAUUAAAAACACAGCACUGUGCAAACACGAAAGUGGACGUAUACGGUGUGACGCCUGCCCGGUGCCGGAAGGUUAAUUGAUGGGGUCAGCGCAAGCGAAGCUCUUGAUCGAAGCCCCGGUAAACGGCGGCCGUAACUAUAACGGUCCUAAGGUAGCGAAAUUCCUUGUCGGGUAAGUUCCGACCUGCACGAAUGGCGUAAUGAUGGCCAGGCUGUCUCCACCCGAGACUCAGUGAAAUUGAACUCGCUGUGAAGAUGCAGUGUACCCGCGGCAAGACGGAAAGACCCCGUGAACCUUUACUAUAGCUUGACACUGAACAUUGAGCCUUGAUGUGUAGGAUAGGUGGGAGGCUUUGAAGUGUGGACGCCAGUCUGCAUGGAGCCGGCCUUGAAAUACCACCCUUUAAUGUUUGAUGUUCUAACGUUGACCCGUGAUCCGGGUUGCGGACAGUGUCUGGUGGGUAGUUUGACUGGGGCGGUCUCCUCCUAAAGAGUAACGGAGGAGCACGAAGGUUGGCUAAUCCUGGUCGGACAUCAGGAGGUUAGUGCAAUGGCAUAAGCCAGCUUGACUGCGAGCGUGACGGCGCGAGCAGGUGCGAAAGCAGGUCAUAGUGAUCCGGUGGUUCUGAAUGGAAGGGCCAUCGCUCAACGGAUAAAAGGUACUCCGGGGAUAACAGGCUGAUACCGCCCAAGAGUUCAUAUCGACGGCGGUGUUUGGCACCUCGAUGUCGGCUCAUCACAUCCUGGGGCUGAAGUAGGUCCCAAGGGUAUGGCUGUUCGCCAUUUAAAGUGGUACGCGAGCUGGGUUUAGAACGUCGUGAGACAGUUCGGUCCCUA
rnacentral:rRNA from 1 species